rnacentral:siRNA from 1 species
ACUGCAGGUUCGAGCCUUGUCAG